UGACAAAAUUGGGAUAAUCUUGUAUCUCACCACUUAUCUGCAAGUAUUGGGGAGCAAAUGAACUUCUGUGAGCUCAGCUUUACAGAGAAGCUAACAAUUUCCAUGGUUGGUCAAAGUGACAACAUGAGUGAGGCUUUGAGAACAAAGGCAAGUAGAAUCCCCUGUCACACCACCACAGUAACGAAGACGCCUGUCAUGCAUCAGAAAACUACACAACAGAAAUUCCCACAGAAAUGGACAACUUCAUGGAAAAUGCUAACUCUGCAUCUCUGAAG